UACGAAGGGGGCUAGCGUUGCUCGGAAUCACUGGGCGUAAAGCGCACGUAGGCGGACUCUUAAGUCAGGGGCGAAAUCCUGGAGCUCAACUCCGGAACUGCCUUUGAUACUGGCGAUCUUGAGUCCGGGAGAGGUGAGUGGAACCGCGAGUGUAGAGGUGAAAUUCGUAGAUAUUCGCAAGAACACCAGUGGCGAAGGCGGCUCACUGGCCCGGUACUGACGCUGAGGUGCGAAAGCGUGGGGAGCAAACAGG
rnacentral:rRNA from 1 species